CAUUACCGAGUUUACAACUCCCAAACCCCUGUGAACAUACCUAUACGUUGCCUCGGCGGAUCAGCCCGCGCCCCGUAAAACGGGACGGCCCGCCCGAGGACCCCUAAACUCUGUUUUUAGUGGAACUUCUGAGUAAAACAAACAAAUAAAUCAAAACUUUCAACAACGGAUCUCUUGGUUCUGGCAUCGAUGAAGAACGCAGCAAAAUGCGAUAAGUAAUGUGAAUUGCAGAAUUCAGUGAAUCAUCGAAUCUUUGAACGCACAUUGCGCCCGCCAGUAUUCUGGCGGGCAUGCCUGUUCGAGCGUCAUUUCAACCCUCAAGCUCAGCUUGGUGUUGGGACUCGCGGUAACCCGCGUUCCCCAAAUCGAUUGGCGGUCACGUCGAGCUUCCAUAGCGUAGUAAUCAUACACCUCGUUACUGGUAAUCGUCGCGGCCACGCCGUUAAACCCCAACUUCUGAAUGUUGACCUCGGAUCAGGUAGGAAUACCCGCUGAACUUAAGCAUAUCAAU
rnacentral:rRNA from 1 species